CCUGGUGGCUCAGAUGGUAAAGCAUCUGCCUGCAAUGCAGGAGACCUGGGUUCGAUUCCUGGGUCAGGA
rnacentral:tRNA from 1 species